rnacentral:rRNA from 1 species
CAUUCAAAGAGUGCGUAAUAGCUCACUGGUCGAGCGUCUUUGCGCGGAGAAUUUAACGGGGCUAAACCUGACACCGAAGCUUAGGCAAUACAGCAAUGUAUUGGGUAGGGGAGCGUUGUAUACGCGGAGAAACAGUAGCGCAAGCGGCUGUGGAGUGUAUAGAAGUGAGAAUGCCGGAAUGAGUAGCGCGAAUGCAGUGAGAAUCUGCAUGGCCGAAAGCCUCAGGUUUCUGGAGGAAGGUUCGUCCGCUCCAGGUUAGUCGGGAGCUAAGGUGAGGCCGAAAGGCGUAGCCGAUGCACAGACGGUAGAGAUUCCGUCACCACCAAAAGAGUUAAGCACAGGGACACAUUUGAAGUCUCAGAGCCGGGUGUUGGUUCCGGUAGAGAUCGAGGGAAAUUAGUACCGAAGUCUGAGAUGGAAGAUGGCGAGAAAAGCUGUGUGUAUUUCUGAGGUGCCCGUACCGCAAACCGACACAGGUAGGUAGGAAGAAGAUUCUAAGGCCAACGGGAGAAGGGUUGUUAAGGAACUCGGCAAAUUGACCCCGUAACUUCGGGAGAAGGGGUGCUCCAGAGAUGGAGCCGCAGAGAAUCGGCCCAAGCAACUGUUUACCAAAAACACAGGUUUGUGCUAAAUCGAAAGAUGACGUAUACGAGCUGACGCCUGCCCGGUGCUGGAAGGUUAAAAGGAGAUGUGCAAGCAUUGAAUUGAAGCCCCAGUGAACGGCGGCCGUAACUAUAACGGUCCUAAGGUAGCGAAAUUCCUUGUCAGGUAAGUUCUGACCCGCACGAAAGGCGUAAUGAUUUGGGCACUGUCUCAACAGCCCGCCCGGCGAAAUUGUAGUACCGGUGAAGAUGCCGGUUACCCGCGACAAGACGGAAAGACCCCAUGGAGCUUUACUGUAGCCUAAUAUUGGGUUUCGAUGUUGCAUGCACAGGAUAGAUGGGACACAGGGAAACAAUCGCUUUGGCGGUUGCGGAGUGGCCGUUGGGAUACCAUCCUUGCGAUAUUGGAAUUCUAACCUGCGGCUCUGAAUCGAGUCGGGGGACAUUGUUAGGUGGGCAGUUUGACUGGGGCGGUCGCCUCCUAAAAAGUAACGGAGGCGUUCAAAGGUUCGCUCAGCUUGAACGGAAAUCAAGCAAAAGAGUGCAAACGCAGAAGCGAGCCUAACUGCGAGACUGACGGGUCGAGCAGUAACGAAAGUUGGAGUUAGUGAUCCGGUGGUAUGUGAGUGGAAAUGCCAUCGCUCAACGGAUAAAAGUUACCCUGGGGAUAACAGGCUGAUCUCCCCCAAGAGUCCACAUCGACGGGGAGGUUUGGCACCUCGAUGUCGGCUCAUCGCAUCCUGGGGCUGUAUUCGGUCCCAAGGGUUUGGCUGUUCGCCAAUUAAAGCGGUACGCGAGCUGGGUUCAGAACGUCGUGAGACAGUUCGGUCCCUAUCUGUCGUGGGCGCAGGAUAUUUGA